rnacentral:rRNA from 1 species
AGUGAACGCUGGCGGUAGGCCUAACACAUGCAAGUCGAACGGCAGCACAGUAAGAGCUUGCUCUUACGGGUGGCGAGUGGCGGACGGGUGAGGAAUACAUCGGAAUCUACUUUUUCGUGGGGGAUAACGUAGGGAAACUUACGCUAAUACCGCAUACGACCUACGGGUGAAAGCAGUGGAUCUUCGGACCUUGCGCGAUUGAAUGAGCCGAUGUCGGAUUAGCUAGUUGGCGGGGUAAAGGCCCACCAAGGCGACGAUCCGCAGCUGGUCUGAGAGGAUGAUCAGCUCCACUGGAACUGAGCCACGCUCUCGACCCCUACGGGAGGCAGCAGUGCGGAAUAUUGGACAAUGGGCGCAAGCCUGAUCCAGCCAUACCGCGUGGGUGAAGAAGGCCUUCGGGUUGUAAGGCCCUUUUGUUGGGAAAGAAAAGCAGCAGGUUAAUACCCCGCUGUUCUGACGGUACCCAAAGAAUAAGCACCGGCUAACUUCGUG